rnacentral:rRNA from 1 species
AUUGAACGCUGGCGGCAGGCCUAACACAUGCAAGUCGAACGAGUGGCGGACGGGUGAGUAACGUCUGGGAAACUGCCUGAUGGAGGGGGUUAACUACUGGAAACGGUAGCUAAUACCGCAUACCAUCAGAUUUGCCCAGAUGGUAUUAGCCUGUUGGUGGGGUAACGGCUCACCAAGGCGACGAUCCCUAGCGGGUCUGAGAGGAUGACCGGCCACACUGGAACUGAGACACGGUCCAGACUCCUACGGGAGGCAGCAGUGGGGAAUAUUGCACAAUGGGCGCAAGCCUGACGCAGCAAUGCCGCGUGUAUGAAGAGGGCCUUCGGGUUGUAAAGUACUGUCAGCGGGGAGGCGUUACCCGCAGAAAAAGCCCCGGCUAACUCCGUGCCAGCCGCCGCGGUAAUUC